rnacentral:lncRNA from 1 species
GUGGGUAUCAGGAGAAUGAGGCAAGCCAAGCUGUGAGGAGUCUGUGGGUCAUGGCUUUGGCAGCGUGGAACCUGGGACAUAGAGUCCCCCUUGAUACGGCUGUUCGGCAGACCAACUUUGUUGUAAAUAUUUAGAUAAAAAUGGGCUUUAGAGCAGCCACAUCUGAAGACCCACAAGGCUGAAUGUUACACAGGGGGAGCACCACUAUUUAAUCUGAACAUCUGGAAUCCAUCAUGUGUAGUGAAGGACAAGAUGUAUCCUCAUUUUUAAGCCAACUCCAUGAUAAAACUGAUGGAUGGGACCAAUGUGUACAGCAAUCAGAAUCUGAUUGAAGAUAAACUCAUCCUAUUUGGGUCAGAGCAUUAGAAGAAAGAAAGAACUGACACUUCUCAACCUUCUCUAGUUGAAGACUUCUCUGUGCUGUAACUACUUGAAGAGUUCAGCAGAAAAAUUUUACUGAAGAACCCCUGAUCCUCAUUUAAGUAGCUGUAGAGAAUAUUCACUAAGUGUAAUGGGACACGUCUCUCUCAUGCCCACUUCUUUUCUCUUAUCCCUGCAAGAAAAUGAAGUUUUGUUGGAGUCAGAGGUUUAUUUUAGUUUAUUUUAAUCAGAAACGUGUAUGAAAUCCAAAGCACACGAUCUUCAUUUUUAAUAACGUAAACCAUCCCCCCAUGUUUAUGUGCUUUCUCUGGUCCUCGACAUUUUUUUUUCUUUUUAAUUUUAAGAACAUCUGUCCCCACUGCAACUUCACUUUCAUCAGGAAAUCUAAUUACAGAGAUAGAAAAGAGUAUAGUAGGUGAAGCAAAAGACAGCAGCUCCACCUCUUAAUACUGAAUACUUAGAUGACUGCCAGAUGAACAGCUGGAUCCUUGUGUGGCUAAAAAACUAACUCACCUGGUGUAGAGAAAAACAGUUGAUAGAUCAAAAAAGUAGUACAGAUAACAGAGAGCAAGUGGUAUGGAUAUGAAAUACAUUAGGGAGCAUACAAAUGCAGUUUGGCCAGGAUUUAUUUCUAGUUAUGCACUGAUGAGGAGACAUGGGGAAAAAUUGUCAAAUUAAAAAAAAAUCUUCUUGGCAAAUUUAAACUUUGCCUCUAUCCUUUUUCUCUUAAUCUGCUACCCAGAUAUGCACUUCAAAUAGGAAUGUGGGCCUACUGGGGCAUGAAAUAGUUGAGAGCUAUUCAACAAUGAGGAGAAUGAGAGAAAUCUAUUUAGAAGGACAUUUUAGAAUUUAAGCCAGUUGAACCUUAAUAGUCACAGAUAAUUUAACAUGACCCCUAAACCAUUAGGGGGAUUUUUACUACAAGGACUUGGCUCUGUAUUAACAAUGUCAUCCUUCUUAGAAAUUGAUAACUAUAGAAGUUAUCCUAUGUGGAGUAAGAUAAGAAUGACUGCUCUUCAUGUUUACAAGAGAUUACAGUGGAUAAGAACCAGGUGAAACAGGAAUCCCAAGGGAUCUCCUUCCUUCUCAGAGUCAUAGCCAUUCCAGGGAAUCUGCACAUUUUCUGGCUUUCCCAUUUCUAUCAGAUGGUUACUUAGGAACAAAUGAAAAUCAGCAAAAGUGCCAUGAUAAUUAUCACAAAUUUGUACGAAAUAAUGAGGCAGUUGAAUGCAUUUUUUCUGUCUUAUCUCUGUUUGUCAAUGAGCUAAACAGUGUGUUCAGGUCCCUCUGAAUACUUGGAGGAACAAGAUUCUUUAGCCUUGUCUCACUGAUUCCCAAAGUUUAUCUAAGUCUUCCAGAGGAGGACCUCUAUUGUCAACACUUGAUAGCCAAACCCUUCCUUUGUUUUUUUCCUUCUAUACACUACUUGUUAAUCAACUUGCACAAAACCAAUUUCUGGUUCAACUUUGUCCUGAGCUGCUAACUGGCUAUGACUUUAUUUUACAGGUGCAGUAACUUUGUUAGCUGUUAUUUUGAGGAGCUCCAGCCAUGGGCUCAUUUGAUAGAUUUAAUUGCCAACUUCUUGAACAAACCUCUUGAUUUUAAAAUUUUAAUUUAGCAUGUUUAACAUGAAAGAGGAUUGCCGAAUAAGUGUCCCAUUUGA